UACAGAGGGUGCGAGCGUUAAUCGGAAUUACUGGGCGUAAAGCGUGCGUAGACGGUUAUUUAAGUCGGGUGUGAAAGCCCCGGGCUCAACCUGGGAAUUGCAUUCGAGACUGAAUAGCUAGGGUACGGUAGAGGGAAGUGGAAUUUCCGGUGUAGCGGUGAAAUGCGUAGAUAUCGGAAGGAACAUCAGUGGCGAAAGCGACUUCCUGGACCAGUACCGACGUCAGGCACGAAAGCGUGGGGAGCAAACAGGAUUGAGAA
rnacentral:rRNA from 1 species